rnacentral:lncRNA from 1 species
AAUAAAUAUACAUUCCCUACAGGGAAAUAAAUAAAUAUACAUUCCCUACAGGGAAAUAAAUAUACAUUCCCUUUACAGGGGAAACAACAUACAUUCUCACAGGGGAACAAACAACAUACAUUCUCACAGGGGAAACAAUACAU